rnacentral:lncRNA from 1 species
CCACUCUGCUUUCUGCCCUGAGAUGCUCCCCUAACUGUAUCCUAAGGGCUAGGGGAGGGAGGUGAUGGCAGGUUUUCACAUCUGUGCUCAGAUCCCCAGGGACCCACCAACACAGGGGACCCACAUUGCUCAGCAAGAAUAUUGAUGGGGACCCCAGGAUCCCCCAGUCACAUGCACUGCAGAAGAGGAGGCUGGCCCCUGAGAGGCCUGGGAGAGAGACAGUUGGAAUAGAAGGGAGGGGGCAGCUAGGAGGAGGCCCAGCUGUUAGGGUGACACCCUGAAUCUCAGAAGCGGUUGGCCAGUGUUUGAGCCCUGGUCUUGGCCCUGUAAGAUGAUCUGUAAAGCACUCGGCGGGCAUGGUGCCCAAGAGA